CCCUUAGAUGUCCUGGGCUGCACGCGCGCUACACUGGAAGUUACGGAUUGAGAUACUACCUUGUCCGAAAUGGUCCGGGUAAUCACCUAAAAGCUUGUCAUAAUUGGAAUGGAUUAUUGUAACUAGUAAUCCUGAACGAGGAAUUCCUAGUAAGUCCCAGUCAACAGCUGGUACUGAUUACGUCCCUGCCCUUUGUACACACCGCCCGUCGCUACUACUGAUUGGACGUUUAAGCAAGAUUUUUAAACACUGACAGUGUGUAGUUCACGCUAUACUACAGUGAGAAGAAGAAGAUCGAGCUUACUUGUCUAGAGGAAGCAAAAGUCGUAACA
rnacentral:rRNA from 1 species